CUACGAGGUGCUGCAGUGAGGAAUAUUGCACAAUGGGGGGAACCCUGAUGCAGCAACGCCGCGUGGAGGAUGACGCAUUUCGGUGUGUAAACUCCUUUUAUAUGUCAAGAAAAUGACGGUAGCAUAUGAAUAAGCACCGGCUAACUCCGUGCCAGCAGCCGCGGUAAUACGGAGGGUGCAAGCGUUACUCGGAAUCACUGGGCGUAAAGGACGCGUAGGCGGGGUGGAAAGUCAGGUGUGAAAUCCUACAGCUUAACUGUAGAACUGCACUUGAAACUUCUAAUCUAGAGUAUGGGAGGGGGAGGUGGAAUUAGUGGUGUAGGGGUAAAAUCCGUGGAUAUCACUAGGAAUACCUAAAGCGAAGGCGAUCUCCUGGAACAUUACUGACGCUAAGGCGUGAAAGCGUGGGGAGCAAACAGGAUUAGAUACCCUCGUAGUC
rnacentral:rRNA from 1 species